UACGGGGGGAGCAAGCGUUGUUCGGAUUUACUGGGCGUAAAGGGCGCGUAGGCGGCGUGACAAGUCACUUGUGAAAUCUCGGGGCUCAACCCCGAAACUGCACUUGAUACUGCCUUGCUCGAGUACUGGAGAGGAGACUGGAAUUUACGGUGUAGCAGUGAAAUGCGUAGAUAUCGUAAGGAAGACCAGUGGCGAAGGCGAGUCUCUGGACAGUUACUGACGCUGAGGCACGAAAGCCAGGGGAGCAAACGGG
rnacentral:rRNA from 1 species